CUGGAUCUAAUCGAUAUCACAAAAAUAAUAUGAAAUUUGAUUGAAUCAAUCAAGAGUGGCUUUGAUAUCACUGAUAGAUUUUAGUGAUGCAGCAAAAUAUGAAUUUCAAAAAUUUUAGCAUGCAUUCAACAAUUGAAAAUAAUGUUUAACAAUUAAAUAAAACCACCGAAACAUAAAAUCAUAGGAACCCCUUGAUGAUUAC
rnacentral:lncRNA from 1 species